AGAGUUUGAUCCUGGCUCAGGAUGAACGCUAGCGACAGGCUUAACACAUGCAAGUCGAGGGGCAGCACAGGGUAGCAAUACUUGGGUGGCGACCGGCGCACGGGUGAGUAACGCGUAUGCAACUUACCUAUCAGAGGGGGAUAACCCGGCGAAAGUCGGACUAAUACCGCAUGAAGCAGGGGCCCCGCAUGGGGAUAUUUGCUAAAGAUUCAUCGCUGAUAGAUAGGCAUGCGUUCCAUUAGGCAGUUGGCGGGGUAACGGCCCACCAAACCGACGAUGGAUAGGGGUUCUGAGAGGAAGGUCCCCCACAUUGGUACUGAGACACGGACCAAACUCCUACGGGAGGCAGCAGUGAGGAAUAUUGGUCAAUGGGCGUAAGCCUGAACCAGCCAAGUCGCGUGAGGGAUGAAGGUUCUAUGGAUCGUAAACCUCUUUUAUAAGGGAAUAAAGUGCGGGACGUGUCCCGUUUUGUAUGUACCUUAUGAAUAAGGAUCGGCUAACUCCGUGCCAGCAGCCGCGGUAAUACGGAGGAUCCGAGCGUUAUCCGGAUUUAUUGGGUUUAAAGGGAGCGUAGAUGGAUGUUUAAGUCAGUUGUGAAAGUUUGCGGCUCAACCGUAAAAUUGCAGUUGAUACUGGAUAUCUUGAGUGCAGUUGAGGCAGGCGGAAUUCGUGGUGUAGCGGUGAAAUGCUUAGAUAUCACGAAGAACUCCGAUUGCGAAGGCAGCCUGCUAAGCUGCAACUGACAUUGAGGCUCGAAAGUGUGGGUAUCAAACAGGAUUAGAUACCCUGGUAGUCCACACGGUAAACGAUGAAUACUCGCUGUUUGCGAUAUACAGCAAGCGGCCAAGCGAAAGCGUUAAGUAUUCCACCUGGGGAGUACGCCGGCAACGGUGAAACUCAAAGGAAUUGACGGGGGCCCG
rnacentral:rRNA from 1 species